ACCUCCAGUUGCAACGAAAUCUUGUCCGACGUCUGAUUGCUAAGCUUAAACUUGACCAUCUAUUACUCCGACAAGACGCGUCCCAGGAUCCACACCGCACUUAACCAGCUACUGGACAAUGUAAUCCAACUCCGCUGGCUGCAACUUCUCCGUCAAUGGCACGUUUGGAUCGGCUUGGUCCAAAAUCUCUUCAGCUUCACGGCGUCAUUCUUUUUUACACGAAACCAAAACAAGCUUGACAGCGGAGUGCGCGAAAGAGAUACGAAGCAAACCAAAGUGUUCAAAGCAGGUGUGGCGCUAUCAAAUGUCAAAUGACAUGAGUAAUUUAAUUCCGAGGGGCGUGACAAUAGUAAGAAAAUUAAUUUAUUUAAUUAAUUAACGGCCAAAAUUAACAAAUUAACUUUUGUUUACGACCAAAACAUCGCCACCUCUCCUUACACCACUUUGGUUUCACCUCGAAUUUGACAGUUCAACAGCGGGCGUGAUUGUUGUUGUGUUUGAUUUUGAUGGCAAUGUUUUAUCACCAAAAAGAACCAGGAUUAAGGCACAUAAGAAAUAACAGUCGAACAGCCGGCCGUCUGGAGGAUCCGUUGGAAGUGGCAAUCGAGUUCCGGAGAACAUUGCAGCUGAUCAUUCCGGAGCAUAAUUCGGCGGUUCAAGCAGCUAUGCGCGCUGGUUUUCGUUCAACAAAAUUGCCGAAUGGAUCAAGUUGGUGAUCGAUCACGAGUAGCUUAUGCUGUUCCGCGAUACUUGGUGGAGUAACGAGCCGGAUUUCGACAAAAAUGUUCCUGUUACUCAAGUCUGGCUUCUUAAUCAGCAAUCCCCCCGGCAGUUGAGCAAGUUCAACGCGGCCUGCUGGAUGUGGUUCCUGCUGGUGGUAGAUUCUCCAAUGUUGUUUACCUUUGCACCGCUACCCAAUUGGCGUCGUCCGUCAGCCCUGUGACGAACAUCACCACCGGUACGAUCAAGGGUACGACGGAACAGCAUCCCUGGCCAGAGGAUCGACUGGACAAGAAAAGGCCUCAAUUUCCCGAGACAGUCCCGAGUGCAGUUAUCCGGUGCUUUUGCUAAAGCUUCUAGCGCUGAAAUUACUCAAUUCGGAAGUAAUCGAGGAAUGACAUGUUGGAGAUUGAACCCAAAAUGCUCCUGUUGCUCAAGUUUGGUUUCUUGGUCGAAUUUUCGAUAAGCAGCAGGUUAAGUUCAACGUAGCCUACCAACAGUGAUUCCCGCGCACUCAAUCCGCGACGUCGUUUGGCCCCGUGACGACCAUCUGCACCGGUGCAACUUUGAGCCCGGAGGAUCAGCAACAUUUUUUAGACAAUUAAAAAACAAGUUUAACAUCUUUGUUCAAAUAGUAUUUUUUAUAAUAUUACAUUUAAUAAACAUAUGAAUUUAAAUCAAUAAACAACUA